rnacentral:rRNA from 1 species
CCUACGGGAGGCAGCAGUAGGGAAUCUUCCACCAUGGGCGAAAGCCUGAUGGAGCAACGCCGCGUGGGUGAAGAAGGUCUUCGGAUCGUAAAACCCUGUUGUUAGAGAAGAAAGUGCGUGAGAGUAACUGUUCACGUUUCGACGGUAUCUAACCAGAAAGCCACGGCUAACUACGUGCCAGCAGCCGCGGUAAUACGUAGGUGGCAAGCGUUAUCCGGAUUUAUUGGGCGUAAAGGGAACGCAGGCGGUCUUUUAAGUCUGAUGGGAAAGCCUUCGACUUAACCGGAGUAGUGCAUUGGAAACUGGGAGACUUGAGUGCAGAAGAGGAGAGUGGAACUCCAGGUGUAGCGGUGAAAUGCGUAGAUAUAUGGAAGAACACCAGUGGCGAAAGCGGCUCUCUGGUCUGUAACUGACGCUGAGGUUCGAAAGCGUGGGUAGCAAACAGGAUUAGAUACCCUUGUAGUC